UACGUAGGGUGCGAGCGUUGUCCGGAAUUAUUGGACGUAAAGAGCUUGUAGGUGGCUCGUCGCGUCGGGAGUGAAAACCCGCGGCUUAACCGCGGGCCUGCUUUCGAUACGGGCGGGCUAGAGUUCGGCAGGGGAGACUGGAAUUCCUGGUGUAGCGGUGGAAUGCGCAGAUAUCAGGAGGAACACCGAUGGCGAAGGCAGGUCUCUGGGCCAUUACUGACACUGAGAAGCGAAAGCAUGGGGAGCGAACAGG
rnacentral:rRNA from 1 species